rnacentral:rRNA from 1 species
GCUACUGCACGAGGAGGGGUCUGCGUACCAUUAGCUAGUAGGUGGGGUAAUGGCCUACCUAGGCGACGAUGGUUAGCGGGUCUGAGAGGAUGAUCCGCCACACUGGCACUGGAAUACGGGCCAGACUCCUACGGGAGGCAGCAGUGAGGAAUAUUGCGCAAUGGGGGCAACCCUGACGCAGCGACGCCGCGUGAGUGAGGAAGGCCUUCGGGUCGUAAAGCUCUGCCAAGAGGGAAGAAGUGCAUGGUGGUUAAUAUCUGUCAUGUUUUGACGGUACCUCUAAAGGAAGCACCGGCUAACUCCGUGCCAGCAGCCGCGGUAAUACGGAGGGUGCAAGCGUUGUUCGGAAUCACUGGGCGUAAAGGGCGCGCAGGCGGCCUGAUCAGUCAGAUGUGAAAGCCCACGGCUUAACUGUGGAAGUGCAUUUGAAACUGUCAGGCUUGAGUACCAGAGGGGAAAGUGGAAUUCCCGGUGUAGAGGUGAAAUUCGUAGAUAUCGGGAGGAAUACCGGUGGC